rnacentral:lncRNA from 1 species
UCGCGUGCCCAAAGAGAUUGGCUUUCAUCAGGUCUUUGCGCAGUCACCAGCCACAUUACCCUCAUGGCUAACAGCGGAAGAUGUGAAUUAUUUUGCUCAGAAAUUAAACAAAACAGGCUUCACUGGAGGACUGAACUAUUAUCGUAAUCUGGACAAGUAUGUAUGCUUCCUCUAUUUUGAUUUGUUUGUCCGAAUUUGAAUUGGCACGAAGCUUAAGAAACUAAAGAAAGACUUUUGAAUCUUGUGGUUUUAAACGACUCCUUUAACCAUGUGUUCUUUCUUAAACAUGUCAUGUGUAAAGUUAAAAAGUUUUGAUAGUUUACAAAUUAUGAGGUUCUUAUAUUUAUGAAAAGAUAUAUACAAAUUAAGGAAUCCAAAUUGCAUGUCGAAAUAUAAUCUCAACUUCAAAUCAUCUGAUUUCAAAAUUUUGAUUGUACUAUUAAUGCAGAAACUGGGAGCUGACAGCACCAUUUAGAGGAUGCAAAAUUCAUGUUCCAACUAAGUUUAUUGUGGGUGACCUGGACAUUACAUAUCAUGUUCCUGGAAUCAAGGAGUAUAUUCACAAUGGUGGUUUCAAGAAAGAAGUUCCUAAUUUGCAGGAAGUUGUUGUAAUGGAGGGAGUAGCUCAUUUCAUCAACCAAGAAAAGCCUGAUGAAAUAAGUGCCCACAUUUAUGAUUUUAUUCAGAAGUUUUGAUUAACGAGACCCCCUUUGUCUUUCAGGUUUCCGCCACUUCACCACUUGGAAUAAGCAG